rnacentral:rRNA from 1 species
GAUGAACGCUGGCGGCGUGCCUAAUACAUGCAAGUCGAGCGAACAGAUGAGGAGCUUGCUCCUCUGACGUUAGCGGCGGACGGGUGAGUAACACGUGGAUAACCUACCUAUAAGACUGGGAUAACUUCGGGAAACCGGAGCUAAUACCGGAUAAUAUAUUGAACCGCAUGGUUCAAUAGUGGAAGACGGUUUUGCUGUCACUUAUAGAUGGAUCCGCGCCGCAUUAGCUAGUUGGUAAGGUAACGGCUUACCAAGGCGACGAUGCGUAGCCGACCUGAGAGGGUGAUCGGCCACACUGGAACUGAGACACGGUCCAGACUCCUACGGGAGGCAGCAGUAGGGAAUCUUCCGCAAUGGGCGAAAGCCUGACGGAGCAACGCCGCGUGAGUGAUGAAGGUCUUCGGAUCGUAAAACUCUGUUAUUAGGGAAGAACAAAUGUGUAAGUAACUAUGCACGUCUUGACGGUACCUAAUCAGAAAGCCACGGCUAACUACGUG